rnacentral:rRNA from 1 species
UACGGAGGAGGCAAGCGUUAUCCGGAAUUAUUGGGCGUAAAGCGUCCGUAGAUGGUUUUGUCAGUCUGCUGUCAAAGCACAGGGCUUAACCCUGUAAAGGCAGUGGAAACUACAAGACUAGAGUGCAGUAGGGGCAGAGGGAAUUCCCAGUGUAGCGGUGAAAUGCGUAGAGGUUGGGAAGAACACCCGUGGCGAAAGCGCUCUGCUGGACUGCAACUGACAUUGAGGGACGAAAGCUAGGGGAGCGAAUGGG